AUGCUGCCACAGCCAGCAGUGAAGGGGAUUUCAAGAGACGCUUCAGAGAACUUUAAAACUUUCAAUAAUGUUUUAAAUACCUGGGGAAUAAAAACAAAAACCAAGAGUAAUAAUGUUGGAGGAAGAGGCAGUGGAAAGGAACAGAGAAUAGGAGCAAAAGGAAAAACAAAGGUGACUGGACAAAAAGAUUCAAGCAAUUUGCAUGGGAAAGUGGCAGUAGACAGAUUACCUUUAUGUUCCACUCUUGAAAUUUUGCAAAGCAUUUUAACAGAAUUCUCAAAAUGAGAAGGGAAUCCCAUCAAAGCAAGAAGGGGUGAAGUGGCUGAGAAGGGCCAGUGCCAGUGGUAUGUGACUCCAGGAUCUACUGAAAGAAGUUUGCAUUGCAGGUCCAUUUGUAGAUCUUGAUCUACACAUCAGAGACUCAAUAGUUAAUUUUACUCACUAAGAUAAAGGUCUUAUUUAUCUGAUUUUAACAGAUGUAAUAAAAUUAUUUAAAUUAAUCUUUACCAGAUGGCUCUCUUAUCCUUUACAUCAUUUCAUACAUUUUUUAAUCUAUAAAAAUGUUGGUGGUAAAUAGAGAACAUGAUGUAAAAUGUCAACUCUUUCCAACAGGUUAGAGUAGAAGAUGGUUUUGUUUAACUGAGUUGUGCAACAUAAAUACCAAUAGCUGAG
rnacentral:lncRNA from 1 species